rnacentral:lncRNA from 1 species
GUCACCACAAACCCAUUCACCGGCUCUGUCUGGGUAGUCGGUCCGGCUCCCCUUCCUCUCCUCUUCCCUUACUUCCUCCCUCCAAAUGGGCUGCUGGCGGCGGGGGAGGGACCCUGGGGGCAGCUCAGAGCGCGCUGGUGCUCGGGAGGCGGAGGGAGAAAGAAGGAAGGGAGGCUGUGAGUGAGAGGCGGCGCGCAGGGAGGGAGCGAGGGAGGGAGGAAGGCGGAGGGAUAUUCGGACCGGACCUCUCCGCGGAGGCGCCGCGCUCCACGACGAUUGGCCGUUGUCCUGGCCACGCGGAAUCCCUAACUGGCCAGGCGCUCAGCGUCGAAGGGCCGUCUCGCGCCCAUUCGCCUGCUGGUUUCAAGGCCCGGGUUGGCUGGGCGGGCAGCGGAAUGGAGCGCGCGGAUUGGCCGAGGGGAGGGAGAUUGGGAUGGGGUAGGAGAGAGCCCGCCGUUGAUUGGGUGGGCUUGGUAAAGGCCUUGAGCUCAGACCGGCUGAGCGCUGGGAGGAGGGUGGACCGGAGGCACGACUCGGAUCCUGCGCGAUUGGCUGGGAUAGUAGGCGUUGAUAGGAUAGGGUGCCCGGGAGAACUAAGGAGAGGAGUUCGGGGUCGGGGCGCGGGAAGGCGGGAGGUGCCCGGCAACCCUAGGAGCCCGGCGCGGGGCACGAUGGGACGCCCCCGGGAAGAGGCGGAGCUGGGUUCGAGCGCUGGGGCUGCGGUUGGGAAACUACUGGAGGAUGUGGUGCACCAGAAUAAGAGAAUAAACCAAGAAACAGGAAGACGUGAUCCAGGCAACAGGAUAUUCCAGUAUAGUGUUGGAAACAGAAGCCCAGUAGUGAAAGCUACAGCUGCCAUAUACUUGCAGUGGAAUCACAGGAGCAAUCACAGGUCUUUAAUUUAAUUCUGGAGUGUGAGCAGGAACCAGUUAACUACAUUCAUUGUCCAACCCCCACUGGUUUGAAAGAAGACUCCAAAUUCUUGGCAUAUGAAUCAGCUGUUCGGUAGCUCCACCUUAUCCCUGCAGCGAAGCAGCAGAACCGCCAAUGGCGGCACCUCAGGAUUCACACUGUGGGUGGUGAGGCCUUCCGCUGAAGGAGGUACUGGUGGAUGCUCUCAGCAUCUCGCUUUAGCCAGGCAGCAUUCAGCAGAAUAUUUUCACAACACUGCUGGAUGGUACGCUCAGCUGAAGGAGCUGGGUGACUCUCGAAGAAAGCCUGGUAUAAAACAACCCAGAAUGCAGGAUCAUUACUAGCAAUAAGAAGUUAAUAUUACAGGUUAUGAAAAAAUACCCACUGGUCUAUAUGAAGGAUGCAUAAUCUUCAGGCAUGAGAAUUUACCACUGCCACCCUCAGGCUAAAAGAAAACAAGCAACUCCUUGGACCUGCAUAUAGGAAUUCUCCCCUUAAUUAUAUGCUUAACAACCUAAUCAAAAGUUAAUAAAGAGACAGAACCUACUGCCUUUCUUUUAGGCUAAUUGUGUAGUGGUAAAUAUAGUCUUUGGAAUGAAGACUUGGAACCUGAAUCCAGGCUUAGUCAUGUACUAGCUUGUGACUGUGAGAAAAUUAACUGCUCUAAGUCUCAGUUUUCUCAACUAUGAGAAAAUAUCUACUCCAGAAGAUUAAAGAGACAAUCCAUAUAAACAUUUGACAAAAUACCUAGCACAGAGUACUUAAGGAUUCAACACAUUUUGGCUGCUUCAAAUAAAGAUUAAUUUGUAAGGGAUGAUAAUACAAAGAAGUUUAAAUUGCUGCUAUGCCCUAAUAAUUUAACACCCCAUGGUCUUUUUUUUUUUUUUUUUUUUGAGACAGGGUCUCACUCUGUUGCCCAGGCUAGAGUGCAAUGAAACGAUCAUGGCUCAUCACAGCCUCAACCUUCUGGGCUCAAGUAAACCUCCCACCUUAACUUCCUGGGUAGCUGGGACCACAAGCGUGCACUCCCAGGCCAAAUUGUUUUUUCCUUUUUGUAGAGAUGGGGUCCUACCAUGUUGCCCAGACUGGUCUUGAACUCUUGAACUCAAGCAAUCCUCCCACCUCAGCCUCCCAAAAUGCUGGAAUUACAGGAAUCCAACAUUUUUAAUACAGUAAACCAAACAAUUUCUAAGUUUACAAUUUAUCACAAUGCUUAAUGAUUAAAAGUUGAAUAAACUUUUCUAAUGCAGUACACCUGGUUUCACAGAAAACAAAGCAACUCUUAAACACCAGCUGGCAAAAUGAUAGGGCUUUUCCUUUGAAUUAGUCACCACAGGUGUGAAAGACAGAAUGACUAAUCCAUCUGAUUAAACAUAGACCUUUUAGAAAUCAAUAACCUUAUUUACACAGAUGACAAUUGCUACUGUUCCAAGGCUCCUAAUCAUGGUUCAGUUCUCAGGGCCUCAAGUCUUUUUCCAUUCCAUCGCAGAGUAGUACCAACAUUUAUACACCAGAAACCUGGGGAUUAUCCUGGCUUGUUUUUCUUCCUCUCCCAGAUAUGCUCACAACAGAGAAGCCAAUCAAUAAAUAUUGUUGAACUAAAUGGUUAACAAAUUCAAGCCCCUGAAUCUCCAUUAUUCCAUCUCCUCCACUACUGCCACUACCCUACUGUAAGCUAUUCUAUCAUUCUUGCUAGGAGAGUUAGCUUCCCAACAUCUUCUCUUCCCCAUUCCAAACUAUUAUCCACAUUGCAGCCAGACUGAAAUUUUUAUAACACAAAUCAGAUCAAGGCACUGCCUUGUUUAUAAACCAUUCGAAGGCUUUCCAUUUUUAGGACUUUUUUUUUUUUUUUUUUUUUUGAGACAGGAGUCUCGCUCUGUCACCCAGGCUGGAGUGCAAUGGCACGAUCUCAGCUCACUGCAACCUCCACCUCCCGGGCUCAAGCAAUUCUCCUGCCUCAGCCUCCCGAGUAGCUGGGAUUAGAGGCGUGCACCACCAUGUCCAGCUAAUUUGGGGUUUCACCAUGUUGCCCGGGCUGGUCUUGAAGUCCUGACCUCAGGUGAUCCACCCACCUCGGCCUCCCAAAGUGCUGAGAUUACAGAUGUGAGCUACCAUGCCUGGCCAUUUUUAGGAAAUUCUUAAUAUGGCCUAUACAGCCCUGCAUGAUGUCUUUCUCUAAACAAAAACACAGAGAUGCUACAGUACAUUAUCCCAACACUAUAAUUACAACCAGGUUAUUGUUUUUACUUACUAGACUGAAAAGUGAAGAGUAAACAGUAUUUUCCUUACCUUAACCUCUCCAGCCAUUUUAUCAACUGCAAAUCCCUCAACUGAUAGCUGCAAAACAAUGGUUUUAAACAGUAAGUGAAACCAAGAGGCUGAGAACAAACUUCCAUUUACCCUAAAAAUAAAUCAUUCUGUUCUCUGCCAACUUCAGUCUGUUAUAAAGGAUGUGUGAUGGGAGAUGGAGAAGUCCUUAAAUAAAGCCAGUAACUAUUUAAGGAAACUUUUUUUUUUUUGAGACGGAGUUUCACACUUGUUGCCCAGGCUGGAGUGCAAUGACCUCAUCUCGGCUCACCACAACCUCUGCCUCCCAGGUUCAAGCGAUUCUCCUGCCUCAGCCUCCCAAGUAGCUGGGAUUACAGGCACACACCACCACGCUCAGCUAAUUUUUGUAUUUUUAGUAGGGACAGGAUUUCACCAUGUUGGCCAGGAUAGUCUCGAACUCCCGACCUCAGGUGAUCUGCCCACCUCGGCGUCCCAAAGUGCUGGUAUUACAGGCGUGAGCCACUGCACCUGGCCACAGGAAACAUUUAAAGAGCAAAGACCACAAUGUAUGGGUGUAGUGAAUCAUGGAUGUCACUAAAUAAUAUCCAUGAUUAGCAAGCUACUCAAAGUUUUUCACAUACCUUUAUUAGUCUGGAUAUUAAGAAUCCUCCCUGGUAUCGGUUAUAAAGUUCUUCCCAGUUGUCCUUUAUGAAUUUCCAAGCAGCUUUCCUACCAUGCUUGCUGCCUCCAGCUACUCCACCAAUUACCGAUACAGUGUCCUGUGGACGUACCUCUUCCUAAAAAAAGAAAGAGAGCUAAAAGUCUAGUGUAUCAAAAACAUAUUCUGGUACCAGAAAGUGCACCAUACUGUGACACUGAAGUAAUCACACUGAAGACACUUAUUCCUUGUUUUAGGAAUAACUGGAACCAGAAGUUCUCAGCAAAGAAGAUAAUGUUUAAGCUAAAGAUAACCAAAAUGAGAAUGAGGUACUGAGACAGGUUCAGACAGACAGACUGCUCAACAGAUACUUGCUUAGGAGCCUAUAGGUUUAAGAAAGGAAGAGACACAAAGUAAGCAAAGGCAUAAGCCAGUUUCCCAGUUUUCAAGAGUCCCUGUCCUCAUAGUUUCCAUUCUGGAGAGACAAUUUGUUUACUCUCCCAACUAUUCUGAUUCUCGCCACUAGUGGGAGAAAAACAGAAGUCAGUAACAAAAACUCAAGCCAGUUACUCUGGAAAAGGAAGCUUUAGUUAGGGUUAAGGCAGCUCAAGAGGAUCAGAGCUGAAUCAGAGACACUUCUCAGAGAUGGGUAACGAUUCACUUCUAAAUGCAGUUUUCACCGUAACUUACUGAAAGUGCAAACGUGAGGACUUUUUGAAUCAGGUCAGGCAAAAGAGUAGCGCCAAGGACUCUUUCGAUUCGGUUUUUCUCUUCUUGCAUAUCUGCUUGUUUAUGAAGCUACAGGAAAAAAGAUAAAGAUAGGAAUAGUUAACUCUCCCUUGGAUGUUCUGCAUAUGAUUAUAUGAGCUUCUUCCCCAGUAAGGUAAAACUUAGGUUCUAUAUUCUCACUAGGUAAGAAUGGCAGGGCAUUAUAUUAAAGAAAGAGAAUACUUUUCAAGAUGCUUUGGGCCAGGUGCGGUGGUUCACACCUGUAAUCCCAGCACUUUGGGAGGCCGAGGCGGGUGGAUCACCUGAGGUCAAGAGUUCGAGAUCAGCCUGGCCAACAUGGUGAAACCCUGUUUCUACUAAAAAUACAAAAAAAAAAAAUUAGCCGGGCGUGGUGGUGCCCACCUGUAAUCCCAGCUACUUGGGAGGCCGAGGCGGGAGAAUCGCUUGAACCUGGGAGGUUGCAGUGAGCUGAGAUCGUGCCACUGCACUCCAGUUUGGGCAAGAGAGCGAGACUCUGUCUCAAAAAUAAAAGAAAAAAAAAAUGAUGCUUUGGCACUAAAUUUGUCAUCUGCUGUUACAGUAAGUAAAUCACUAGAUGUAAAUGCUACCAGAUGAACAGCCUGUCAUUAGUUCAGACCAGUUUAACAUCAAGAUCUAAGAGGUAAAAUCUAUCAUAGCCAAAUUCUUUACAUCAUUGAUAUCUGGCUAAUGUUCUGUUUUAGAAGAACAAACUAAUCAUUAGUGUUCUUAUACCAGAUCAUCAAAUUAAUUUAUAAUAGUGAAAAAUUGAAAAUGAAUACUGUACUUAUAAAAAUGCAUUAUUGAAAGUUAUAUUUUAAGAAUAUAUCAUAAACAUGUUCUUAUAUUUAAGUGAAGAAAGCAGACAAAGCAGAAUUAUCCUAAAAAAUAUAUAUAUAUAUAUGGCUGGGCACAGUGGUUCACGCCUGUAAUCCUAGCACUUUGGAAGGCUGAGGUGGAGGUUGCAGUGAGCCCAUAUCGUACCACUGCACUCCAGUCUGGACAACAGAGCAAGACUGUGUUUCCAAAAAAAGGGGGUGGGGGAGAACCCCUGGAAAUACAUCAAAAUGGUAGUAUUAAUUAAUGAUGGUUUCUGAUCAGUGGGAUUAUGCAUCUUCACACUUUUUAACUGCAAAAGCAGCACAUACUGAAUGCAGAAUAUCUGAAAGACAGAGAAGCAUAAAGAAAAAAAUAAAAUUACUACUAUAUGUACAUUAACAAAUCUGGAAAGAGAGCAUGUUAUACAUGCUGUUUUUGCUACCUGCUUUCUAAACUAUAGGUAAGUUUUAUUUUCCUCUUUAUACUUUUCUAGUCUCUAAAUCUUCCAUAGUAUAUAUGUAUAUAAAAUCUUUUCAUAGAAACAAAAUGUUGUAAUUCUUAAAAAUUAGAACUAUAAAUGUAUAAGAGCUAUGUCUCCAAGACAAUUUAGACUCUUUUGAUCUUUUCUACCCCUUAAGAUUUAACACUGACCAGAGUGUCUGGAGACCUCAUCAAAGCUCUCAGUUUCCUCUUCCUUUCGACACUUUUUUUUUUUUCAAUAAACAAUUUUAAUUUAUAAGAAGUAGAGAUGGGGUCUCGCUGUGUUGACCAGGCUGGUCUCUUUUUUUUUUUUUUUUGAGAUGGAGUCUCGCUCUGUUGCCCAUGCUGGAGUGCAAUGGUGUUACCUCAGCUCACUACAACCACGCCUAGCUAAUUUUUCUUUUCUUUUUUUUUUUUUGAGACGGAGUCUUACUCUGUCACCCAGGCUGGAGUGCAAUGGCACAAUAUCGGCUCACCACAACCUCCACCUCCCAGGUUCAAGCAAUGCUCCUGCCUCAGCCUCCUGAGUAGCUGGGACUACAGGCGCCCGCCACCACACCCGGCGAAUUUUUGUAUAUUUAGUAGAGACAGGGUUUCACCAUUUGGGCCAGGCUGGUCUUGAACUCCUGACCUUGUGAUCCACACCCGCCUCGGCCUCCCAAAGUGCUGGGAUUGCAGGCGUGAGCCACCGCGCCUGGCCUAAUUUUUCUAUUUUUAGUAGAGCCGGAGUUUCUCCAUGUUGCCCAGGCUGGUCUUGAACUCCUGGCCUCAAGUGAUCCUCCCAUCCAAAGUGCUGGGAUUACAGGCAUGAACCACCACGCCUGGCCCCUUUGGACUCUAAGCAGCAGUGCAGUAAAAUAGACAGGACCUUGGGAGAUCUGGGUUCUAGUCCCAGUUUUGCCUCUAACUAGCUGUGUGAUCUUGACUAAGUCCUUCAUCCCUCUGGGUCUCAGUUUCCCCAUGUGUAAAAUGAGAUGGGUGGACAGAUAAUUUCUAAGGCCCUUUUCAGCUCCAAUAU